rnacentral:rRNA from 1 species
GGGUUGUGAGGUUAAGCGACUAAGCGUACACGGUGGAUGCCCUGGCAGUCAGAGGCGAUGAAGGACGUGCUAAUCUGCGAUAAGCGUCGGUAAGGUGAUAUGAACCGUUAUAACCGGCGAUUUCCGAAUGGGGAAACCCAGUGUGUUUCGACACACUAUCAUUAACUGAAUCCAUAGGUUAAUGAGGCGAACCGGGGGAACUGAAACAUCUAAGUACCCCGAGGAAAAGAAAUCAACCGAGAUUCCCCCAGUAGCGGCGAGCGAACGGGGAGGAGCCCAGAGCCUGAAUCAGUGUGUGUGUUAGUGGAAGCGUCUGGAAAGGCGCGCGAUACAGGGUGACAGCCCCGUACACAAAAAUGCACAUAUUGUGAGCUCGAUGAGUAGGGCGGGACACGUGGUAUCCUGUCUGAAUAUGGGGGGACCAUCCUCCAAGGCUAAAUACUCCUGACUGACCGAUAGUGAACCAGUACCGUGAGGGAAAGGCGAAAAGAACCCCGGCGAGGGGAGUGAAAAAGAACCUGAAACCGUGUACGUACAAGCAGUGGGAGCACGCUUAGGCGUGUGACUGCGUACCUUUUGUAUAAUGGGUCAGCGACUUAUAUUCUGUAGCAAGGUUAACCGAAUAGGGGAGCCGAAGGGAAACCGAGUCUUAACUGGGCGUUAAGUUGCAGGGUAUAGACCCGAAACCCGGUGAUCUAGCCAUGGGCAGGUUGAAGGUUGGGUAACACUAACUGGAGGACCGAACCGACUAAUGUUGAAAAAUUAGCGGAUGACUUGUGGCUGGGGGUGAAAGGCCAAUCAAACCGGGAGAUAGCUGGUUCUCCCCGAAAGCUAUUUAGGUAGCGCCUCGUGAAUUCAUCUCCGGGGGUAGAGCACUGUUUCGGCAAGGGGGUCAUCCCGACUUACCAACCCGAUGCAAACUGCGAAUACCGGAGAAUGUUAUCACGGGAGACACACGGCGGGUGCUAACGUCCGUCGUGAAGAGGGAAACAACCCAGACCGCCAGCUAAGGUCCCAAAGUCAUGGUUAAGUGGGAAACGAUGUGGGAAGGCCCAGACAGCCAGGAUGUUGGCUUAGAAGCAGCCAUCAUUUAAAGAAAGCGUAAUAGCUCACUGGUCGAGUCGGCCUGCGCGGAAGAUGUAACGGGGCUAAACCAUGCACCGAAGCUGCGGCAGCGACGCUUAUGCGUUGUUGGGUAGGGGAGCGUUCUGUAAGCCUGCGAAGGUGUGCUGUGAGGCAUGCUGGAGGUAUCAGAAGUGCGAAUGCUGACAUAAGUAACGAUAAAGCGGGUGAAAAGCCCGCUCGCCGGAAGACCAAGGGUUCCUGUCCAACGUUAAUCGGGGCAGGGUGAGUCGACCCCUAAGGCGAGGCCGAAAGGCGUAGUCGAUGGGAAACAGGUUAAUAUUCCUGUACUUGGUGUUACUGCGAAGGGGGGACGGAGAAGGCUAUGUUGGCCGGGCGACGGUUGUCCCGGUUUAAGCGUGUAGGCUGGUUUUCCAGGCAAAUCCGGAAAAUCAAGGCUGAGGCGUGAUGACGAGGCACUACGGUGCUGAAGCAACAAAUGCCCUGCUUCCAGGAAAAGCCUCUAAGCAUCAGGUAACAUCAAAUCGUACCCCAAACCGACACAGGUGGUCAGGUAGAGAAUACCAAGGCGCUUGAGAGAACUCGGGUGAAGGAACUAGGCAAAAUGGUGCCGUAACUUCGGGAGAAGGCACGCUGAUAUGUAGGUGAGGUCCCUCGCGGAUGGAGCUGAAAUCAGUCGAAGAUACCAGCUGGCUGCAACUGUUUAUUAAAAACACAGCACUGUGCAAACACGAAAGUGGACGUAUACGGUGUGACGCCUGCCCGGUGCCGGAAGGUUAAUUGAUGGGGUCAGCGCAAGCGAAGCUCUUGAUCGAAGCCCCGGUAAACGGCGGCCGUAACUAUAACGGUCCUAAGGUAGCGAAAUUCCUUGUCGGGUAAGUUCCGACCUGCACGAAUGGCGUAAUGAUGGCCAGGCUGUCUCCACCCGAGACUCAGUGAAAUUGAACUCGCUGUGAAGAUGCAGUGUACCCGCGGCAAGACGGAAAGACCCCGUGAACCUUUACUAUAGCUUGACACUGAACAUUGAGCCUUGAUGUGUAGGAUAGGUGGGAGGCUUUGAAGUGUGGACGCCAGUCUGCAUGGAGCCGACCUUGAAAUACCACCCUUUAAUGUUUGAUGUUCUAACGUUGACCCGUAAUCCGGGUUGCGGACAGUGUCUGGUGGGUAGUUUGACUGGGGCGGUCUCCUCCUAAAGAGUAACGGAGGAGCACGAAGGUUGGCUAAUCCUGGUCGGACAUCAGGAGGUUAGUGCAAUGGCAUAAGCCAGCUUGACUGCGAGCGUGACGGCGCGAGCAGGUGCGAAAGCAGGUCAUAGUGAUCCGGUGGUUCUGAAUGGAAGGGCCAUCGCUCAACGGAUAAAAGGUACUCCGGGGAUAACAGGCUGAUACCGCCCAAGAGUUCAUAUCGACGGCGGUGUUUGGCACCUCGAUGUCGGCUCAUCACAUCCUGGGGCUGAAGUAGGUCCCAAGGGUAUGGCUGUUCGCCAUUUAAAGUGGUACGCGAGCUGGGUUUAGAACGUCGUGAGACAGUUCGGUCCCUAUCUGCCGUGGGCGCUGGAGAACUGAGGGGGGCUGCUCCUAGUACGAGAGGACCGGAGUGGACGCAUCACUGGUGUUCGGGUUGUCAUGCCAAUGGCACUGCCCGGUAGCUAAAUGCGGAAGAGAUAAGUGCUGAAAGCAUCUAAGCACGAAACUUGCCCCGAGAUGAGUUCUCCCUGACCCUUUAAGGGUCCUGAAGGAACGUUGAAGACGACGACGUUGAUAGGCCGGGUGUGUAAGCGCAGCGAUGCGUUGAGCUAACCGGUACUAAUGAACCGUGAGGCUUAACCUUACAACGCCGAAGCUGUU